ensembl:lncRNA
CUGCUGACAUUUGUCGUCUGUCAAGUCAAUGGAGGAUUGUUUAUUUGUUCUGUGGUAUUAUCAUUUCAGAUGAUUUCUAUCAGGACCUGUCUCAUUCUGCUGUGCCGUUCACUAUCGGUUUCAUUGUUACUUCAACAAUCACUCUUUUAUUCGGCUUUGCUGCUUUCAAAUGGAAACAAAACAAAGGUAGCAACAGGAGAGAUCCCACUGGGACAGAUGAAGUGGAUCAAGUGAUGGAUCUGGACAAAAGAGUAACUGAGAAUGAGACCAAACAUCCUGACGGUGAAACAGCUGAAGACAAGCAGGAUGAGAAGCAAAAGAAUGAGGAAGCUGUGAAAGAAGUGAGGCAGGAGCCAGCAACUAAUCAGAUUGAAGACAAAAACAAUGAAGUCCAACAGCUCCAAGAUCAGAAUCACAGGAAAGAGAUUUACCAACAGCCUAUGAAGGACAACGUGGAAACGAAGAAUCAGAGCGUGCCAAUGGAUGUUGUUCAAGUGAUGCAGAAGUCUCUCCCACAACUUAAGUUUGUUGUUGCCUUUCGCUGGAUGCAGAAGUUGGAGGACAGACUGGAUAAAAUUAAGCAUCCCCAGGCUAAAAUUCAGGACCUGGAGAAUCUGACGAAGCAACUAGAGAGUGACAAUGAACAGAUCAGUACUAAAGUAGCUGAAGUGGAGCUGCAGCUUCAGGAUGACCAGAAGAGGAGGGAGGAAGCUGAGAAGAUAAUGCAGACCCUGAAAGAGGAACUGGAGACCAAGAACAAGGAGCUCACUGACUUAUUAGAUGAAGUCCAGCAGCUCCGUGAAGAGAAUCAGCAGAAGGAAAAUCACCUAGUCACCCUCAACAAGCAUCUGGUGAAAAAGAACAUAAAGCAGGAUGACAGGAACUGGGGCCUAACUGUUGAAGAUCUGAAGAAGACCCAAAACAAACUGGAGGAGGAGAUGGCAGCGAACAGGAAGCUGCAGAAAGAGAUUGACGACAAAGGAGCUAAAGUAACAGAGGAAAAGCAGAAGAGGGAGGAAGCUGAGAAAGAGCUGAAGACGCUGAAGAAGGAUCUGCAGAAGAAGAACGAGGAGCUACAAGAGUCAAAGCUUCUCUUUGAGAACCUCAAGGCAAAUAAGGAGGAGUGUGAGAGACAACUGACUGAACUGAGAGAGCAGUUUAAGAAGGAGAACUCCUCUCCUGUCUCCAAGUUGGAGAGGAUGCUGCACGAGGAGCAGCAGAGGAGAGAGGAGGUGGAUGAGGAAGUGGAGACUCUGAAGAAAGAGUUGGAGAACAACGUAAACAAGUUUCAACCACAACAUGAAGAAUCUCUGAAAGGUUCAGGCGUCUCUGCAGCAGAACAUCUGACGUCACCAAAGGAAGAUUGAAUACAGACGACAGCUGAAGUAAAAGAUGCUAAAAGCUGUGAAACCAAACAAUGGAGAAUUUAAUGUUGUGUGAUUUUUUGUUGUACAGUAUCAAAGAAUAAGUGAUGUUUAGGAAGAAGAUGUGAAGGAAAAUGUCAGAUAUAUAUUUUUUUAGGUUGAAGACAGUAUGAAGAAGCUUAGCUUUAACUUGAAAUAGUAACAUAUAUAUAUAGUAUAAUGUUAAUGUGCUUUUUUACUUUUUUAAAUCUAUGAAUCCACUUUAAUCAACACAUCAUGAAGAUCAUUUUAAAACAUAUUACUGCUGUAGAUGUUUAACAUGAAGGUCCGCACUCGGAUAUUUGUGACCAUUUGUCACCUGAGACAGAAAUGUUGUUUUAUCGAUAUUGUGUUAUUGUGGUGUUGCUGUUGCCCUCUGUAGGCAAAAAAAAAGUAACGUCUUGUACAUUGUGUCGUUCAGUGACUUCCUAUCGUUGAUUUAACAGGAAGAACCGUUGCCAUGAACAUGAUUGAUUAAUAAAGGUUUGC